ACGCUGGCGGCGUGCUUAACACAUGCAAGUCGAACGGAAAGGCCCUGCUUUUGUGGGGUGCUCGAGUGGCGAACGGGUGAGUAACACGUGAGUAACCUGCCCUUGACUUUGGGAUAACUUCAGGAAACUGGGGCUAAUACCGGAUAGGAGCUCCUGCUGCAUGGUGGGGGUUGGAAAGUUUCGGCGGUUGGGGAUGGACUCGCGGCUUAUCAGCUUGUUGGUGGGGUAGUGGCUUACCAAGGCUUUGACGGGUAGCCGGCCUGAGAGGGUGACCGGCCACAUUGGGACUGAGAUACGGCCCAGACUCCUACGGGAGGCAGCAGUGGGGAAUAUUGCACAAUGGGCGGAAGCCUGAUGCAGCAACGCCGCGUGCGGGAUGACGGCCUUCGGGUUGUAAACCGCUUUCGCCUGUGACGAAGCGUGAGUGACGGUAAUGGGUAAAGAAGCACCGGCUAACUACGUGCCAGCAGCCGCGGUGAUACGUAGGGUGCGAGCGUUGUCCGGAUUUAUUGGGCGUAAAGGGCUCGUAGGUGGUUGAUCGCGUCGGAAGUGUAAUCUUGGGGCUUAACCCUGAGCGUGCUUUCGAUACGGGUUGACUUGAGGAAGGUAGGGGAGAAUGGAAUUCCUGGUGGAGCGGUGGAAUGCGCAGAUAUCAGGAGGAACACCAGUGGCGAAGGCGGUUCUCUGGGCCUUUCCUGACGCUGAGGAGCGAAAGCGUGGGGAGCGAACAGGCUUAGAUACCCUGGUAGUCCACGCUGUAAACGGUGGGUACUAGGUGUGGGGUCCAUUCCACGGGUUCCGUGCCGUAGCUAACGCUUUAAGUACCCCGCCUGGGGAGUACGGCCGCAAGGCUAAAACUCAAAGGAAUUGACGGGGCCCCGCACAAGCGGCGGAGCAUGCGGAUUAAUUCGAUGCAACGCGUAGAACCUUACCUGGGUUUGACAUGGAUCGGGAGUGCUCAGAGAUGGGUGUGCCUCUUUUGGGGUCGGUUCACAGGUGGUGCAUGCCUGUCGUCAGCUCGUGUCGUGAGAUGUUGGGUUAAGUCCCGCAACGAGCGCAACCCUUGUUCACUGUUGCCAGCACGUUAUGGUGGGGACUCAGUGGAGACCGCCGGGGUCAACUCGGAGGAAGGUGGGGAUGACGUCAAGUCCUCAUGCCCCUUAUGUCCAGGGCUUCACGCAUGCUACAAUGGCUGGUACAGAGAGUGGCGAGCCUGUGAGGGUGAGCGAAUCUCGGAAAGCCGGUCUCAGUUCGGAUUGGGGUCUGCAACUCGACCUCAUGAAGUCGGAGUCGCUAGUAAUCGCAGAUCAGCAACGCUGCGGUGAAUACGUUCCCGGGGCUUGUACACACCGCCCGUCAAGUCAUGAAAGUUGGUAACACCCGAAGCCGGUGGCCUAACCGUUGUGGGGGAGCCGUCGAAGGUGGGACUGGUGAUU
rnacentral:rRNA from 1 species